rnacentral:rRNA from 1 species
CUACGGGGGGCUGCAGUGGGGAAUAUUGGACAAUGGGCGAAAGCCUGAUCCAGCCAUGCCGCGUGUGUGAAGAAGGCCUUCGGGUUGUAAAGCACUUUCAGUGGGGAAGAAAGCCUUGGGGCUAAUACCCUCGAGGAAGGACAUCACCCACAGAAGAAGCACCGGCUAACUCCGUGCCAGCAGCCGCGGUAAUACGGAGGGUGCGAGCGUUAAUCGGAAUUACUGGGCGUAAAGCGCGCGUAGGCGGUCUGAUAAGCCGGUUGUGAAAGCCCCGGGCUCAACCUGGGAACGGCAUCCGGAACUGUCAGGCUAGAGUGCAGGAGAGGAAGGUAGAAUUCCCGGUGUAGCGGUGAAAUGCGUAGAGAUCGGGAGGAAUACCAGUGGCGAAGGCGGCCUUCUGGACUGACACUGACGCUGAGGUGCGAAAGCGUGGGUAGCAAACAGGAUUAGAUACCCUUGUAGUC